rnacentral:rRNA from 1 species
AUUGAACGCUGGCGGCAGGCCUAACACAUGCAAGUCGAACGAGUGGCGGACGGGUGAGUAAUGUCUGGGCACCUUCCCGAUGGAGGGGGAUAACUACUGGAAACGGUAGCUAAUACCGCAUACCAUCGGAUGUGCCCAUAUGGGAUUAGCGAGUAGGGGGGGUAAAGGCUCACCUAGGCGACGAUCCCUAGCUGGUCUGAGAGGAUGACCAGCCACACUGGAACUGAGACACGGUCCAGACGCCGACGGGAGGCAGCAGUGGGGAAUAUUGGACAAUGGGCGAAAGCCUGAUACAGCCAUGCCGCGUGUAUGAAGAAGGCCUUCGGGUUGUAAAGUACUUUCAGCGGGGAGGCGGUACCCGCAGAAGAAGCACCGGCUAACUCCGUGCCAGCAGCCGCGGUAAUAC